GUGGGACCACGAGGGGAUUAAUUUUUUUUGGAAUAUUCUGUCAUAGUCAUUGGGGUGAUAUAUGAUUAGGAGUAAGGAUUGGCUAAGAUCCUUGAAAGAGAAGCCUGAGCCACGAUAUCUCUUGGAUCGGCAUCUGAGGUUUGACAAUCUGAUUUUAGAUCAUCAAGAUCUAACUUCGAUACAAAUCGAUGACAGGAUCAGAAGUCAAGAAUCAGAGGCUGAAGUGGGAUCGAUCGCACAUGGAGAGUAUGAGCACCUGUGGACAAAAGUCGGAUGCAUAGGU
rnacentral:lncRNA from 1 species